AUGAACACUUCUCCAGCUUUAGGAACUGUGAUGCUACUGUUUAUUCUCGAAAGAAGCCAUGGAGACUCAGUGACCCAGAAACAAGGUCAAGUGACUCUCUCAGAAGAUGACUUCCUAUUUAUAAACUGUACUUAUUCAACCACAAGCUACCCGACUCUUUUCUGGUAUGUCCAAUAUCCUGGAGAAGGUCCAGAGCUGCUUUUGAAAGUCACAACAGCCAACAACAAGGGAAGCAACAGAGGUUUUGAAGCUACAUAUGAUGAAGGAUCCACUUCCUUUCACUUACAGAAAGCCUCAGUCCAAAAGUCAGACUCGGCUGUGUACUACUGUGCUCUGAGUGACACAGUGUCACAAACCACAGGGGGAGCUGAGCACAAACUCAGAGGAGCCAACGGAAGCCUAAUUUCUGAUCAUCUGCCUUGGAUCUCUCUAUUUUUCACAGUCUGA